rnacentral:rRNA from 1 species
UACGUAGGGGGCAAGCGUUGUCCGGAUUUAUUGGGCGUAAAGCGCUCGCAGGUGGUCCGAUGCGUCGUGCGUGAAAGACCCCGGCUCAACUGGGGGGUGUCGUGCGAUACGGUCGGACUGGAGGCCAGUAGGGGGAUGCGGAAUUCCGGGUGUAGUGGUGGAAUGCGUAGAGAUCCGGAGGAACACCAGCGGCGAAGGCGGCAUCCUGGACCGGCAUUGACGCUGAGGAGCGAAAGCCAGGGGAGCAAACGGG